rfam:Hyphopichia burtonii NRRL Y-1933 unplaced genomic scaffold HYPBTscaffold_7, whole genome shotgun sequence.
GGGCGUCUGGCGUAGUUGGUAGCGCGUCUGCCUUGCAAGCAGAAGGUCACCGGUUCGACUCCGGUGUCGUCCA